rnacentral:rRNA from 1 species
UACGUAGGGGGCAAGCGUUAUCCGGAAUUACUGGGUGUAAAGGGUGAGUAGGCGGCAUGGUAAGCCAGAUGUGAAAGCCUUGGGCUUAACCCGAGGAUUGCAUUUGGAACUAUCAAGCUAGAGUACAGGAGAGGAAAGCGGAAUUCCUAGUGUAGCAGUGAAAUGCGUAGAUAUUAGGAAGAACACCAGUGGCGAAGGCGGCUUUCUGGACUGAAACUGACGCUGAGGCACGAAAGCGUGGGGAGCGAACAGG